rnacentral:rRNA from 1 species
AACAGGAUUAGAUACCCUGGUAGUCCACGCCGUAAACUAUGGAUGCUAGCUGUAAGAAGUAUCGACCCUUCUUGUAGCGAAGCUAACGCGUUAAGCAUCCCGCCUGUGGAGUACGGUCGCAAGACUAAAACAUAAAGGAAUUGACGGGGACCCGCACAAGCGGUGGAGCGUGUUGUUUAAUUCGAUGGUAAGCGAAGAACCUUACCCAGGCUUGACAUCCUGUGAAGGUCUCCGAAAGGAGACUGUGCCUUCGGGAAUACAGUGACAGGUGAUGCAUGGCCGUCGUCAGCUCGUGUCGUGAGAUGUUUGGUUAAGUCCAUCAACGAGCGCAACCCUUGUAGUUAGUUGUAUUUUUCUAGCUAGACUGCCCUGGUAACAGGGAGGAAGGGGGGGAUGAUGUCAGGUCGGUAUUUCCCUUACGUCUGGGGCUACAAACACGCUACAAUGGCCGGUACAAAGGGCAGCCAAAGCGCAAGCUGGAGCAAAUCCCAUCAAAGCCGGUCCCAGUUCGGAUAGCAGGCUGAAACUCGCCUGCUUGAAGAUGGAAUCGCUAGCAACGGUAGGUCAGCACACUACCGUGAAUACGUUCCCGGGUCUUGUACACACCGCCCGUCAAACCAUGAAAGUCGCCAAUACCUGACGUGUUAGCUUUGCCUAGCCCUAAGGUAGGGGAGAUGAUUGGGGUUAAGUCGUAACAAGGUAACC